ensembl:lncRNA
AAAAGGAUUUAUUUCAAGUAAUUAUUCAUAACAAGUACAGUCAAGGCAUAUUAUCGGUUUUCAUUUGACAAGCUCCAUGAAAGGCUACUAAACAAACACCAUUUAUAUUCUUCCUAAUUCAACAUGUAGGACAGUCUGGUGUACACAUUUCAGACACAUCAAAACAGUUUCAUUAAUACAAGAUUGAGGGACAACAAAACAGCGAUCAAAACAGCAUAAAUCACUUCCCCCCAUACAAUAAUGAUUUCCAAGUAACGUUUUCUUUUCAUCCAACAACACAACGUGUGUAUAAGCUGGCAAGAGUGUACAGAUCAUUCUUGGGCUUUGUGCAAGUUUUUGAACUUUGGAACUCAGUAGGGUGUGGUCCCAGAGACGCAAAACUUCCACGGACGUGGGCUAAUACAGAAAGGAAAUCCAGAAGCAAGGUCCCCCUGCUUUAAUACAGAAGGAUUAUGUUCACACAAACACCACAUUGAGAUCAACAACUGCUUUCCCAUCCAGCCACAAAGAGCAAAGAAAGACCGAGUGAAAGAGAGAGAGAGAGAGAGGGAGAACGAAAAGAAAUGAAAAGAAAAGACAAGGAAAGAGCGAGAGAAAAACAUGAGAGAAGGGGUAUCUGGCACCACUUAAACUGAAGAGCACCUGUUGAAAAAUGAAGACAGAUUAGCAUCAUCUGGAGGCAGCUCUACUGUAGACAGACACAACAUUAUUUGGAACUGAAACCAAAAGGAGGGUUUUUCAUAUCGGUUUCAUAUUUCAGUCGUCUUCUGAUUUGAAUAUGCAGUGGUUUUCAAAAGCACUGCCCCUUUCAUGGAGUGUAGAGCGUCACUGGAAUUAACUGAGGAAUCUUAGUUUCUUUAGUUUCACUACCACCGAAGCAUAAAGCUAAACGUCAGAAUCUACACAGAACAUGUUUCAGUACACUAGGCUGUUGGUUCUCAAUCCAACUUUUGAAGGACCCCAGUACUGCACGUUUAAGUGCACGGGUCUCCUUGUUUUGACACAUCUAGUGUGCAAAUGUGCAGUUCUGGGAUACUCCAGGACCAAUAUUUAGGAAGAGUGCAGCUGGAUAGAUCUGGGAAUGUAUGAGGUAUGAACGCUUCUCCCUUUAUUCAUCAUUACACUAAGCUAAUACACCGGGCACAAAUCUAACAUAAAAAGCACAAAAACUAAGCAGCUAAGGUUUCAAUCAAUCUCCCAUUUUUAGUAUAUUUUUAAUAUAUGUAAUAUUAUUUUAUGGCACCAACCUGUCCUAGUUAUUAAUGAUACCAGCAAUGGUUGUUUGCUUGUGUGAAUAUGUAUGACUAUUCUCAAAACACAAUCUCCUCAGGUUACAGUUGUUUUAACGUACAUGCGCUAUGAUCACAAUCUCUCAACUCUCAAUCAUGCCACAGAAUGACCCCAACACUAAUGUAGAAAACAGCUACAUAGCUAUUACCUCAAGCAAUCUGCUACUAAAACACACACACACAAAAAAACUGAAGUCUGUAGAGCUUCGGAACAUUUCUAAACAGUCCUUUUGAAAACCAAUGCCAUCUUACAAUGAAAAAGAGUGCAGAACAUUUGAUUUAUGAAAAACCCUCCUUUCUGUGCUCCUGGAAGCUCUGUCCUGGAAAAGAGAAAAAAUGGUUUAAUUACAAGUUACAAAUAAUCACACUGCUGCCAACAGGAAGCAGUGUAUUACGUAUGAAGCUUAAAAUGGUGAGUAAAAAGAGGCUAAAUGAUUAUACAGAACAAGCACCAGAAUUUACAAGUGUCAACAUUUCCCCCCCCUGUAUUUAUAGGGAAAAAAUGCCACAUCUCUGGAUUUGAGUUGACUACUAUCAUAAGAAAUAAAAGUAAUCUAAUAGCUCUAAUUUUGAGGCAAUAGGCAAUACUGGUAUUUUUAUAAAUUGGCCAGUUGCUCAACUGCAGCAGGAUCCGUGGUAAAAAUAAAACACUGGGAGUGUACCAGCCACUUGCAAUUGACAGAAAUAAAGAAAGAAAACAAGAUCCAACAAAAAAAAGUAAACCUUUAGCCUACUCUUGAUUCUAUAACAUAAUACCUCACAGCUUUGCCAAAAAGAGACCAAUUAUUCAGUCUCUAAAAUCUUAUCACAUGUGUGAUUACAGUUCGGAAAUAAACAGUUUCCCCAAAGUUAAUCUACACUUACAAUGAAGUUACUAAAAGAUUCAAUAUGAAUCAGGUUUUCUCUCUUAUAAGACGGUUUAUAAAUAUUAUGUCUUAAAAGAUUUAUACUUAGAAAUAUAUAUUUUUAAAAGUCUCAGACUAGAUGAAACCUUUUAAAUCCAUAGGAUUAACUUGGUUUACAUAAAUACAUUCAAACCAAUAAAUAAAUAAACGUGUGCAUAUGCAACUGAAAAACAAAAAAACUGUGUCCUAUACCAAUUUUAAACAAAACAUGUCUAUAAAACUCAAAGUUUACAAAACAACAUUUUAAAAAAAGCUUUAAGUGGAUUCAUAUAUAUUUUACAAGAUUAUUCAUAAUCUUACCCAUUAUAUGUAUUUCUGUGAUUCCUAGAAACUCAUGGUGUAAAUGAACACAAACACAGACAAAUAAAGUACUGUGAUUAAUCAUUCCCAACUACUAUAUUAUAAAAGAUGAUGGUAUAUCAGGAAAUUACAAGUGCAUCUUAAACCAAGAGGUAGCUUUACAAAUGAACUUGAUGGACAUAAUGGCCCCAAACUCUUGGACACAGUGAGCAUUAAAAUCAUAACACACAAAAAACCUCAGAUGUUUCAGUUCACCUGAUUUGAGAGAAAUUGUUGCAACUUAAUUGGAAACUAUCUUUUCCCCUAAAAUCACUUUCUAUUGCUGGCAACAGAGAGACAUUCAGGAGGAAACGAGUAUGUUGUGUUCAGAAUAAUAAAACACAUGCAAGAGGGAAUCUUCAAACACAAAACAACAUCAGACAACAGUUAAUGGUGAUAAAGACAGUUGGCUUCACAUACCCGUAUUUACAUGGUAUAUAUGUGACCAUCUUUUAUUUUUCAUCUUUAAAAUAUCCUCAAAUAAUAAGCUCUAAGUUCUCCAAUAACAAAACUGUUGUAAAAUGACCAAGGAAUACUUUUUCUACGUAUAUAUAAAAACAAACUGAGAAAAGAAAUUCAGCAGUCACGUACUAGUUAGGUGUUUUCAAACACGGAAAUAUUUCAGGAUGAGAAAACAAACAAACUUGACAGCUUCAUACACAUAUUUUUUUCAUUAUAUACAAGAAAGUUACCACUGAUAACAGUUGCUCCCAAAUCCUUUGAAAUUGCAGACCUGGAUGUGUUAAUAUCUACAGACAUAUUUGAUUUUUAUUGAAAUGGCUCAAACAUAAUUUUUGAUUAGAUUUUGUUAUACUAUCUAGAACGAAGAUAUUUAAGGUACUAUCACAAGACUUUGUCUGUGCUACACAAGUAGCGUAUAAUGUAAAGCGGUUGGAUUAACAAUACAGUCACAAAUAUGAACACUGUAAUGCACUAGAUCUAAGAUCAUUUCUGGGGCCAUAAAGUGAGUUUAGGUUAAGCUGUACAGUUAGACAUAACCAAGCACUAUGCUUGCACAGUACUGACGGACUAUUAUUAUUAUUAAUAUAAUUAAUAAUGAUGAUAUAACAACAAUUUGAGGAGUGAAAUACUCAUGACUAAAGCAGUGUAAUAUAUUGACUGAAGAAAUGUAUGGGAUUUGUGUUUUUUAAAAAAAAAAUCUUCUUCCAAAAAUCUAAAGCU